AACGAACGUUGGCGGCGUGGAUGAGGCAUGCAAGUCGCGCGUGAAAGCUCCCUUCGGGGAGUGAGUAAAGCGGCGGACGGGUGAGUAACACGUGAUCAAGCUGCCCUCGAGAUUGGGAUAACCGCGGGAAACCGCGGCUAAUACCGGAUGGUCCGACCGGGUCACCUGACCUGGUUGGUAAAUGGUGGGGAUCCUACGGGACCUGCUGCUCGGGGAGGCGAUCGCGGCCUAUCAGCUUGUUGGUGGGGUAACGGCCUACCAAGGCAUCGACGGGUAGCAGGCCUGAGAGGGUGGUCUGCCACACUGGGACUGAGACACUGCCCAGACUCCUACGGGAGGCUGCAGUCGAGAAUCUUCCGCAAUGGGCGCAAGCCUGACGGAGCGACGCCGCGUGGAGGACGAAGGCCGUAGGGUUGUAAACUCCUGUCCCGGGUUAUGAAUGGCGUAUCGUGAAUAGCGGUGCGAUUGACGUAAGCCCGAGAGGAAGCACCGGCUAACUCUGUGCCAGCAGCCGCGGUAAUACAGAGGGUGCAAACGUUGUUCGGAAUCACUGGGCAUAAAGCGCACGUAGGCGGCGGUGCAAGUGUGAAGUGAAAGCCCACGGCUCACCCGUGGAAUUGCUUUGCAAACUGCAUUGCUAGAGGAUGGUAGGGGAGAGCGGAACUCCUGGUGGAGCGGUGAAAUGCGUAGAUAUCAGGAGGAACACCCGUGGCGAAGGCGGCUCUCUGGUCCAUUUCUGACGCUGAGGUGCGAAAGCCAGGGUAGCGAACGGGAUUAGAUACCCCGGUAGUCCUGGCCGUAAACGAUGGGCACUAGCCUGGGGACGCCCUGUGUGUUCCCAGGUGAAGCAAAUGUGAUAAGUGCCCCGCCUGGGGAGUAUGGUCGCAAGGCUGAAACUCAAAGGAAUUGACGG
rnacentral:rRNA from 1 species